rnacentral:rRNA from 1 species
UGCAGUCGAGCGAACAGAUGAAGUGCUUGCACUUCUGACGUUAGCGGCGAACGGGUGAGUAACACGUAAGGAAUCUACCUAUAAGCGGGGGAUAACAUUCGGAAACGGGUGCUAAUACCGCAUAAUAUCUUCUUCCGCAUGGAAGAAGAUUGAAAGACGGCUCUGCUGUCACUUAUAGAUGACCUUGCGGUGCAUUAGUUAGUUGGUGGGGUAACGGCCUACCAAGACGAUGAUGCAUAGCCGACCUGAGAGGGUGAUCGGCCACAUUGGGACUGAGACACGGCCCAAACUCCUACGGGAGGCAGCAGUAGGGAAUCUUCCGCAAUGGGCGAAAGCCUGACGGAGCAAUGCCGCGUGAGUGAAGAAGGCCUUCGGGUCGUAAAACUCUGUUAUAAGAGAAGAACAAAUUGUAGAGUAACUGCUACAGUCUUGACGGUAUCUUAUCAGAAAGCCACGGCUAACUACGUGCCAGCAGCCGCGGUAAUACGUAGGUGGCAAGCGUUGUCCGGAUUUAUUGGGCGUAAAGGGAGCGCAGGUGGUUUCUUAAGUCUGAUGUGAAAGCCCACGGCUUAACCGUGGAGGGUCAUUGGAAACUGGGAAACUUGAGUACAGAAGAGGAAUGUGGAACUCCAUGUGUAGCGGUGGAAUGCGUAGAUAUAUGGAAGAACACCAGUGGCGAAGGCGACAUUCUGGUCUGUUACUGACACUGAGGCUCGAAAGCGU